GGGUAGGACGAAAACCAUGAAUAGACAUUUCACAUUCAGAAGCUCAGUGUAUAGUGUUGUUACGAUCUCGAUUAUUUAUUUCAUUCAUUCCGAAUCGUUUGGAAUCUUGUGCAAUAUUGUCUCAAGUCAUAAUUAUUAUAUGUUCAUAUAGUCAGCCAUAUAAUAUAAUAGAGUCAGAUAUUAUACUACUCAUAGUAUCCAGUUUCACCUGAUCCAAUUUACAAGCGGAACAGAAGUGCUAGAAAUGAAAAAUAUGCAAAUCAUUUCUCUAUCCUGCGUUGUGUUGAUAACGCUCUCAGUUAUUUCAAUACUAGCCCAUGAUGAGGGAUCACAGCCAAGGGUGGAUCUACCACCAUCUGCAGUAAGACCAGGAAACCGAGCACCAACACAAGCGGCAAUGGCACGAAGGACUGCAACACGCCCGGCCACUAUUGAGGGCGUCACAGCCCAAAUGGCCAAUAUGAAUCUCCAUAGAUAGUUCAGACCCUCAAAGUUCAGCCUCUAUGAAAAUUCUCAUUCCUAUUCAAUUUUAUUUAACUGAGGUAAGCCCACGAUAUUACUCAAUAAACCUUCCAAAUAUAGUAGGGGUGGAUAGUACGAACCUUCUCAUUGGUACAAGUACAAAACUAACAUUUUUCAUGUUCUCAUAGUAACUAUGUAUGAUACUGUUUUUGUAGUGAAUAGUCAGUACCCUGUGGACCCUGUCACUUUGCUGGAUAUCCAGCGCACCUGGAUAAGUGCACCCGAAAUCUGGAAAUCUGGAAAAGCAAGAACCCCUAUGAAUCGUAUUUUAGUACUCCAACCUUUCCAGUGUAGCCCAUAUGAAACUCAAGCUUCCCAUUUAAUACUUUGUAGUUCUUGAAAGUUCUGAAAAACACAGAGCAAUGGCAGAAUACUAGAGUCCUUGAAUGAGAACAUUUUCAAACUCAUGAUGGGUCGAACUAAUGAUUUGUUACGAUGUCUAUGGAAUUUGGAAGAUAAGUUCACAAAGUAACUUUAAUUGGAUGAAUAUGAUAUGCUACUCAAAUAGAAUAAUAUUCUCUAAGUAUAGGAAUCAUUUUCUAAUCGGUAAGAAUAUAAUAUCAUUUCAUCUGAAGAGAAGAAACAGAGAUAUUUUUGCAAUAUGAGGGUUAUUAUAUUUUGAAAAUUUCAAAUCAAUUUAAAAUUUGAAUCGAGAUGGGAACUUCUUAUUAAUGGCAGCUAAGAGAACAUGUUCUAGGCGAGCAAAGCAAGUCUUCUGCCUGGGAUUUUAUAUUUUUUAAAUUUUCUUCAUCAUUUCAUUCAAAAAGAAAGGUUUAUUCAAUCUCAAUUCGAAGAUUCCUCUAGUCGUGGGCUUCCUUCCUUCGAAUUGAAUUCUUUAAAAAUGAGAAUUUUCACGGCUGUGCGAGGGGGCUGAGCUCACACUCACCUCUCAGGAUAUUUGGAUCUGCUAAGCUGGGAAAGGAGAAGAAGAAGAAGAAGGAAAAGAAGGUGUAGAAAAGGAGGAAGAAGAAGGAAAAGGAAAGAAGAUUAAUUGAUUUAAAUCACUAUUAUGUACUAUUAAUCACAUUAUAACUAUUACUACUAUUGAAUAAUAUUACACUUUAGAUGUAGCAUAAUUAGUUCAGUCAAGGAAAGGGUAUAAAGGGAAAAGUUGGGAAGACAAUUUUUGACCGCGCAGCCCUGUUCAGGGUAGUGAGGAGAUAAUCAUAUCAAAAGUCCCCACCCCCACCAACUGUGCUAAGGGGGUAGGGGUGGUUUAAAGGUACCAUUUCUUGGCUUCUCGCAUGAAACUCAAAAACUAGUAGGAAAUUAUGUAAGCUUCAAUUUGAUAUAUGACAGUAGAGUCCUUAGGAUACAUAGUUUUUGUUAGUUAUAUUUUUUGAGUUAUUUGCGAGAAACCAUGAAAUGGUACCUUUAAACCACCCUCACCCUCUUAGCACAGUGGGUAGGGAUGGGGACUUUUGAUAUGAUUACCUCCUUACUACCCUGAACAGAGCUGCGGAGUUAAAAAUUGUCUUCCAAACAUUUCCCUCUAUACCGUGUUUUGAGCAUUCAUUGCCUGGACUAAAUGAAAUUAAUUACCAAUGUAUUGUAUUGUUGUAAUUCAUUCCAUUCUAUCUUUUGUAUGUAAGUUCAGGUUGACUAUACAUUAUAACACUUUUGAGAUUUUUGAGUGCUAAGCCAAUAAUUAAUUAGUAAAUUUCAUGAUUAUUUCAACUGUUAAGUAAAUCCUUCAAAAAUAACGUUCACUGAUAUAAUAUGUAUAUUGAUAUAAUUUACAUGUUUUGUGUAUGUACCUUGUCAAGCAGCCUCUUUGAGGUUCGCUCAAGGUAGCUUAUUCGUUCAAUAAACGUUUUAUCUAUUCUAUUCUAUUACAA